rnacentral:tRNA from 1 species
GGGCUCGUAGUCUAGUUGGUUAUGACGUCGCCUUGACGAGGCGGAGGUCAGGAGUUCGAAUCUCCUCGAGCCCA